rnacentral:lncRNA from 1 species
AAUCUAUUCCCCAGCCUGAACAAAAUGGUGCAUUCAGUAUCGAAUCUAAAGUGAGUAUAUAGUAGAUAUAUAAAUGUUCUGCUGGUUUUACCUUGCCUUGAGUUAUUAUGUUUGUGUAGUUGACUAAUAUAAUUGUUUGGCCUCACUUUUCCAUAUGUUAGGUGGACAGAGUAUAUCUCAACACUCAUGCGCUAAUGCUAUGAUCGCUUUUAUGGACUAAGACCGUAAAAAAUGCGAGCUUACAAUAUUCUUUCAUGACAUUGGUGAGAUUUUCAUAUAUAUAUAUAUAUAUAUUUCACGAUUAGAUAUAUGUAUUUCCCUUAUCUAUUUGGUUCAUAUUGAAUGUUUCUCAUUUUUGCAGCACACAGGAAACAAAAUUCCUAUUAUUCCUGAAUUCUCAAAUCUAGAAAGUUGUCAAUGACGCUCGAUGCGCCGGAGCUUCAUGAAGACGUGACAGCUUGAUGAAGACCUGAUGGUGUAUCCAUUGUUCUCAUAGUAUUUGCAGGUAAUCUGCUUUCCUCCAAAAACAAAAAAAUUGCAGGUAAUCCACUAUUUUCUCUUAUUUUUUAGAAUAUAAUCGGUACAAAUAUUGCAGCGUUAUACCAACCCAUUCAGGGUGCAUUAAUUUUCAAUGUAUAGUUUUACUGCUUAAAAAUGUUCCUCACAGACACGAGGGAUAAUUGCAUUUUGCAAUAAAAUUAUUGGGUUUAUCUAAGGG